AGAAUCAACGCUGGCGGCGUGCCUAACACAUGCAAGUCGAACGAGAAAGUGGAGCAAUCCAUGAGUAAAGUGGCGCACGGGUGAGUAACACGUGACUAACCUACCUUUUAGUGGGGGAUAACCUAGGGAAACCUGGGCUAAUACCGCAUAAUACUUACGAGUCAAAGCAGCAAUGCGCUGAAAGAGGGGGUCGCGGCCGAUUAGCUAGUUGGCGGGGUAAUGGCCCACCAAGGCAGUGAUCGGUA
rnacentral:rRNA from 1 species